GUUUAGAUUAGGUUGGAAGUCACCUGGGCUGAGCUGAUGGCUGAUUCCGUCAGCAAAAAGAACUGUGGAACAUACUGGCACUUGGGCCGGUGUGAAGCCACCCCCCUGCCAUGAAAAAUGGCUCUUCCCUGCCACAGCCGGCCCAGCGGGAGCCAGGUCAGGGCCUGGAGACACAGCGCCCCCCACCGGAGCCACUGCCCGGCCCAGCAGCACCUGCGGAGAAUCCCACCAGCUCCCACGCCUCCCGCCGCGCCACCGCCCCGGCUUUCUGCAAAUCCACCUUAUGGAAGCCGGAUAAGCACCUCCUCCUCUGAUGCGUCACAGUCACAGGUCCUGGUGAGGAGGGAGCCACGCCAAGCACAGCGGCUGGAACAGGGGCAAGUGGGUGCCCACCCCGAAGUGCAGGCAAUGAACUUGUGCUGUAGCCCAUGGUGAGCUGUGGGGCUGUUUGUGACUGCAGCGUAGCCAAGCCCAUCCCGCCUGAUGCGGCCUCUUCAUCCAGAGUGGGGGUGACGUGCCAGCCCCCACCUCACCGGAAUGCUGGGAGGAGCGUCUCCACGGAAGGAGCUCACUUUGUCAGCUGUAAUGUGCUGUGACUAUCGUAAAGUUCCUUCCGGGUGCAGAGUGAUACAUGAACCCUGGGGACUCACUCCAACUUGGUAUUGAUUUUCUCCACGGAGGACCCAGCAGUCACGGCCCGUGUCUGCACAGCCCCUUGGAUCCUGCGGAGGAAUUCAGCCGGCCCCUCCCCCUGUGCCGAAAACCACGGAGGCAAAGCCAGGCCAGGGUACAGUGAGAACACGGGAGAGGACUGAGAGACCGCUGGCUGCCGAGGGAGGAAGAGCAGGAUUCGCACCCCCGUCAUCGCUGGGCCCACACGCCGCCGACAGCUUCCGCGUGUGGCCAUCUGUCUUUCAGAAACCCUCUGGCAGAGGGACCCAGCAGAUGACACGGGGGCCGUUCACACUCUGAAACCUGCCUGGAGUCAAAACACUGCUGGCGAGCCUCCACCGCAAACCCAAUCCAGAUGGUCUUCCCUGGUGGCCCUCGGGGUGGCGGGCACCCUGCCCACUCCCUGCCAGCCCCUGCCCGCUGGACUCCAGGCCCGGCCGAGCCCCCGACCGGUCUCCUGACCCAGCAUGCUGCUCUCCCCUGGGCCCGGCUUUCUCGCCCGCUGGGACUCCCAGGCCCCUCCAGCCCAGCCCCGAGAGCAGGAGCCCCAAGGGAGGCUUGGCGGCUGUGGAGGCGAGUGGGCCACGUGUAGCUGGGAGGCCGGCAGGACCAGGAGCCCCUCACAGCGCAGCACCCACAGCAUCACGAGCCACUUCCACUCCUGGGUGGCCUGGGGGCCCCCACCCUGCUCUGAGCUGCCCCUUGUUGUGACCUGGGGUCCCCCGUGGUGGGCCCGCCCCUUGAGCCUGGGAUCCAGCCUCAGCGAGGCUCCAGAAGUGUCGUCUCCGCCGGCCAGGCGUCAGCGCCUCCACCCAGGAUCACACACUCCUAUCUCUGCACUUCUGCCCUCCAUCCUGCUCCACGCCGCCUCUGCUUGUUAUUCCAGCACAUUCCAGGGUGAUGCCUGCUGAAGCCACGCAGCCAGUGCCUCCACCCUACCCCCCAUCUGACCCACCGGCCCCUUCCGCACGCUGGAAGCCUGCCCGGCCUGAAGUGUCCUCACCUGUCGCCCUAUCCUCCCCUCCACUCCAGCCCACCGGUGACUCAGCCCUCACAGCUCUCUCCUCCCCGAGGGAGCCGGUGACUUGGCUCUGAUGGUGCCGGGACCCAGCCCCGGCAUGUUCAGAAUCCUUGUCCUUUAACCUGCGUCCACAUGUAGUCGCCUCCACCUCCCUGCCUGAACCUCCAGGCCCUGCAGAGCAAACACUGCUGCCUGCAGGAGACCCCUGGGGCCUUCUCCGUCCCCUCAUCCUCCUAAGGAGCCUCCCCUGCCACCGUGCCAGAAUGUGCCGGAGGAACAGAGGCCCGAGCCUCCCGUGGCCCCAGCGAGGCUUCCUCUGGGGAAGACAGUGAGCCCAACGCCCUGGCUCUCGAGGGGUGGACGGAGUCCAGCUGGCAUCGACCGGGUGCCCCUCUUCACCGGUGUCCACAGUCCUUGAGAGCAAAGGUGGUCCCAGCAGUGGAGCAGAGGGCAAGGGUGGGGCAUGUAGAGUCUCCAGGGAGCCACUGUUGGUUAGAGAGGGAGCCCGAAGUGGGCUCCGGACCCCAGCAGGGACAGCGUCCCCUUCCAGCGGGGGCAGCCGAUUGAUCUGGGCACACGAGCAGGAGGAGCGGCGCCACCCAGGGCUGACCUCACGGCCCUGCUCACGUCUCGGGGCAUUUUGGCAGACCCACCUAGACCUGGGGGACAGCCUGAUUUCCUGCAGCCAUGACCUACAAGGGUGGCAGCUCUCUCAGGCUUGAGUAACCAGGACACAGACCUGGGCCAUUUAAUGCGCAGGCAGCCCCAAGUCCCGGCAGGGCCAGAAGCAGAGACGGCGGCUGGGGAUGAAAGUGCACGCUGGUCCCAGAUGGGGCUGGGGGUGAAAGCUGCAUGCUGAUCCCUGGGCCCCCUCACUCUAUGAGCUCCUGAAAGGAGGGAAGCCCCCACACCCUACUGAGUGGAGUGCUCCUUGGCCUGGGACCCCGUCCAGUGUCUGCUGCUGUGGGGGCGGGCUCUGGGCAGAGAGAGGCCAGACAGGCACCCAGGAAAGCUGGAACACAUCCCUCCUGCUUCCCCCAGGGUUCCCAGAGGCGACCUCCCUCCUGCACAGGCAUUUGUCAUCCUUACCCUCUAGGACAGCUUUGCCAUGUGCAGUGAACCCCUGGACAGUGUUGCGUGCCACUUUGCCGGAUUUGGACUGUAUACAGACCGAAGCAUGUGGCAUGAAGCCUUCUGCUGUCAGCAAGUUCCUUGUCCCUCGACAGUAUGUGCCCAGGCUGCCCUUCAAGGUGGCAGUGAUGGCAGUUGUCUCUUGCACGCUGCGUACAGUUCUGUCACUGACUCUUACACACAGCCCUGGAGACGGGAGAGUGCCGGGAGCAUUCUAUGCAAGUGUCCUGGCCUUUGCGGGCGUCUCCACAGCACAAACACGAGUCAGGGACCACCCCUCUUCUGCUUCCAUGAUUCCACCAACUGGGUGGGGCAGAGCAGUGCCAGGGCCGGAGGCACGCCCCAGGUGAGGGCAGGUGGCCAUGCCAGUGAGUGCACUGCGUUCUCAGUUAAUUCAUCCGAAAUAUUUCUAAGUUUCUUGAUUAUUGCAGUUGCAUCCCCAAGAUAAUGCCGCCCUCACCAAGUAGAAGGCACAUGUGCUCUGAUGGCCCCUCCCACACUGGGGUCAGGGCACAGCAACUUAGCGAGGCGACGUGGGGGCUCAGAGGACCUCGGACCAGGCUCGGCACAUGGGGCUUCUCCAGCCAGCCAGGGGGAAGCACCCUGCAGACUGCUAACUUUUGCAAAAUAGAGUAAAAAAGAUCAGCUAGAAAAAUAAAACAAAAAAGGAAAGAUAUACAAAA
ensembl:lncRNA LINC00319 long intergenic non-protein coding RNA 319